GUGAUGGCGUGCCUUUUGUAGAAUGAACCGGCGAGUUACGAUUGCAUGCGAGGUUAAGUUGAAGAGACGGAGCCGCAGCGAAAGCGAGUCUGAAUAGGGCGUUUGAGUAUGUAGUCGUAGACCCGAAACCAUGUGAUCUACCCAUGUCCAGGUUGAAGGUGCGGUAAAACGCACUGGAGGACCGAACCCACGUACGUUGAAAAGUGCGGGGAUGAGGUGUGGGUAGCGGAGAAAUUCCAAACGAACUUGGAGAUAGCUGGUUCUCUCCGAAAUAGCUUUAGGGCUAGCCUCGGAAUUGAGAAUGAUGGAGGUAGAGCACUGUUUGGACUAGGGGCCCAUCUCGGGUUAC
rnacentral:rRNA from 1 species